GAUGAACGCUAGCUACAGGCUUAACACAUGCAAGUCGAGGGGAAACGACAUCGAAAGCUUGCUUUUGAUGGGCGUCGACCGGCGCACGGGUGAGUAACGCGUAUCCAACCUGCCCACCACUUGGGGAUAACCUUGCGAAAGUAAGACUAAUACCCAAUGAUAUCUCUAGAAGACAUCUGAAAGGGAUUAAAGAUUUAUCGGUGAUGGAUGGGGAUGCGUCUGAUUAGCUUGUUGGCGGGGUAACGGCCCACCAAGGCGACGAUCAGUAGGGGUUCGUAUAGGAAGGUCCCACACAGUGUAACUGAGACACGGUCCAAACUCCUACGGGAGGCAGCAGUGAGGAAUAUUGGUCAAUGGGCGAGAGCCUGAACCAGCCAAGUAGCGUGCAGGAUGACGGCCCUAUGGGUUGUAAACUGCUUUUAUAAGGGAAUAAAGUGGGAGUCGUGACUCCUUUUGCAUGUACCUUAUGAAUAAGGACCGGCUAAUUCCGUGCCAGCCGCCGCCGUAA
rnacentral:rRNA from 1 species